rnacentral:rRNA from 1 species
UGUGUUAUAGGUGAUUGUUGUUUUUAUUUUAAUAUAUUUGAUUGGUAUUAUGAGUGAUUGUUGUUGAGUUUCGAUAGUUUAUGAGGUACUGUUGAGGAAUUAUUUAUUUUUUAUUAAAUUUAGGUUGUUUGAUACCUUUUGUAUUAGGGUUCUUUUAUGUUAAUAUGUAUUGAUAGUUUCUCGAUAAAUAUCGGGCUAUUUUGUUAGUUUAGAUCUCGUUGUAUAGAGUCUUUUAUGAUAAAAUAGUUAUGAAAUAUUAUUCAAGUUAUUUUGUAUCUGGUUUUCUAAGAGGUAUAAUGUAGUGUAUGUUUAUGUUGAAGUUAUGCAGGGAUUAGCUUGUAUACUGUUUAUAUAAUAUUUUUGUUGUUAUUUAUUUGUGAUGUUGAAAGUUCUUAUUUUUAUGGUGUUAUUACUGAAUAAGUUUUGUAUAUUAUUUUUUUUAUUUGUGUUGCUAUUGGGGGUAUUGCGUUAAUUUUGGUUGUGAGGUUAUAAUGAUGAUAUUAGUAAUUUUUUAUUUAUUUUUGUUGGUUUGGAUUUAUUUUGGGGUGAGUUGUGAUAUUGAUUAGUGGUAAAGAAUUCGGCAAAGAUUAGCUUUUGACUGUUUAGCAAAAACAUUGUUUUUUGUUUGAAUAAGAAGUAAUUUCUGCCCACUGCUGUUACGGUAAAGGGCUGCAGUAUUUUGACUGUAUGAAGGUAGCAUAAUCAUUAGCUUUUUAAUUGAGAGCUGGUAUGAAGGGGAAACGGAAGUUUGCUGUUUUGUUACUAUUAAAUGAAUUUUAUUUUUAUGUGAAAAAUCAUAAGUGCAAUAAUGGGACAAGAAGACCCUAGUAAGUUUUAUUUUUUAUUGUAAUGCGUGCAUAGGUAGAUUUGUGUAACUUAUUAUAGGGGGUUUGGCUGGGGCGGCAGGUUAUUAAACUUGAUUUAUUAUUUAACUUUGUUGUUGGCGAUUUUUUGACCUAGUAUGGUUAGUUGAGUGAAAAAUUACUGUAGGGAUAACAGCGUAAUUUUUUUUAAGAGUUCUUAUUAACGAAAAAGUUUGCGACCUCGAU